UUGGAUGCGUCGAAUCAAAAAAAAAAAAAAAAAAAAAAAAAAAAAAAAAAAAAAAAAA
rnacentral:ribozyme from 13 species